rnacentral:tRNA from 1 species
GGAGAGGUGUCCGAGUGGCUUAAGGAGCACGCUUGGAAAGCGUGUGUGCGUUCACGCGUACCGAGGGUUCGAAUCCCUCCCUCUCCG